CCGUUUUAUCCUUUUUUUGCAAACCUCAAUUCAAGAGGAAAAAAAAAAUCUGAAUGAAUCAAAAAUUAAAAAUAUCCAAUGGAGAGAGAUCAUCAUUAUAUCACAUGGAGGAACUACCUAAUAUUAGCUAUGAGCCAACAAUGGUUUCAAUGGCAAUAGGCUGUUCCAUAGUAAUAAUAAUUAUAAUAAUAAUUCACUAACAUAGCGCCAUAAUUAACCUGGCAUAAUUCAGGUGCUUCCCUUCUCUAUGAAGUGUUGUUCUCCUCCAAAAAUUUCAUCAUCAUCUUCCUUCUGAUCGAGGGAGUUGGUUGUUAGGUUUUCUUUGCUAAUAAAACUUGAUAAUUUAGCAGUAGCACCUGCGGAGAAAUGACAAUGCUCCUUGACCAUCUUCAAAAGGUCUUCUACUGCUUCAAUAUCUCCCUUACCCUUCAAAUACUCAAGAAAAGAGGACAAAGUAAGGCUGGGCUUCCAUCCCCUCUUAGUUGUUGAGAUUGCUUUCUUUAUUGCUUCUCCUGCUUUCUUCAUUUGACCACUUGCACGAUAUCCAGUAGCCAAAUGAUCCCAUGUGAUCGCAUCAGGCUCCAUCCCAUUCUCUAUAAUCUUGUUUAUGCAUGCUUCAGCCUUUUCCAAAAGACCUCUUUUGGAAUAAGCACCAAUCAUCAAGUUUGCAAUGCGAAUAUCAAACAGCUGCUUCCCAGAAUCCCACUCCUCCCAUAUCCUCUCAGCACCAUCCAAAUCAUCCAACUUCACUAAUGAACUGAUCAUACAACUAUAGCCUGAAUUUAAAAACCUCCCAUUAUUUUUGUACAAAUUCCAAACACGGUAGACUUCAUCUUUAUUCCCAGCAGCAGCAUAUAAAGUGAGGAGCAUUUCCAAGGGUAACCAUUUUGACUUACCUUUAAUUAAUUGCUCUGAUCUCUUCAACAACAUUAAAGCCUUUUCAAUUAGGCCAGCUUUCAAAUAACCAUUUGCUGCAGUAACAUAAGAAUGGAAGUCCAUGUUGAUUACAGGAUCAGCCUCCAUCUUCAUUAGAAGUUUCUCCAUUCCCUCGAUAUCAGAAGAGGCUGCAUAAGCAUUCAACCUGACGUUAAACGUAAACAUGUCACAAUUGAUGCCCUUUUCUUCCAUCUCUUCCAUUAAAAUGUCUAAUUUCUCAUAUUUACCCAUCUGAGAAUAAAGAUUCAACAUUACAUUGUAAGCCAGUGGAUUUUUUACAAACUGCAACUCCUUCAUUUUUUGCAUGAUGCCCUCCGCUUUCUCUAAACAUUUCUUGUGCGCAUAGCAGUUUAAAAGAGAACCAUAAACCUGGUGGCCUCUUGAAGUAUCAGGGAUGCUAUGAAAAUAUCGCUCCGCUUCGUCUAAGCCAUAAACUUUGGUGAUCAAAUCUAACUGAAUUGCAACAUCUCCAGGAGAUAGGUUAUAGGCCCUUUGGUCACUCAUCCAUUGUGAUAUCUGAAGGGCUUGCUUGAAGCGGCGGUACUUGCGAAGCUGCUUGAUAAAUAUUCGCAGCUCCGAUUGUUCAACGCUUUUACCUUCCUCAAGCCAUUUCUCGAUAACCGUAACAAUCGAGACCGCCGGAUUUCCUGACCUCGAUAUCCUACGAUGCAGAGAGUCGACUGGCGCCGACGAGGAGUAAGAUGAAGAAGUUAGAGCAUCACUGGGAAGCAACUGAGCCCGUAAAACUACAUGAACACGACGCCACAAAUUUGCAUUUGAUCGCGGAAGCAACUUCAUAGUGGCGAAGAGAGACUGGAAACUGGAAGCAGCAAGAGAGUGAAAGAUGGAUUAGAGGUUCAAGAAAGAUUUAGGGCAGUUUCAUUUUAAGGAAGAUUUUUUUUUAGAGAGCCAAUUACCUUUCCA
rnacentral:misc_RNA from 1 species